rnacentral:rRNA from 1 species
UUAGAACCCCUAAGGGAGCAAUGAAAUGCACUGAUCUUGGGGGGAAUACCAAAGGCGAAAGCAAGGGUCCAGGGGGCAUUGACGUUCCCCUAGGAAAGUACUGGUCGCAAGCCGGAUUAGAUACCCGAGUAGUCUUUACCGCGGAGAGAGAGGACCCUUCAAACCCACGAAGGCGUCCUUUAUGCCUGAAGAGUACGGCCGCAAGGCUAAAACUUAAAGGAUUUGGCGGGGGAGAAGACCUUACUUGGCGCGUGGCAACUAAUUAGUAGCUACCCUCUUCAACUCACCGUUUCGCAUCUUACAACUCAGGGACUUACCCCUGAAUGUAUAAAAUUGGGGGCUCUCGCCUUAACACAAGGCGUUGAGUCUCUCGAAGAACAGUACUGCAUGGUUGUGACAAGCGAGUCUCGCGAGAGAUGA